CGUUAGUUACAAAUAAAAGUGGUAAAAAACAUUUGAACUAUAAGUUUUCUUAUACACUUUAUGCUCCGGAUUAUUCUUCUGUCUUCAGUUCAACGUAGCUCACAGCCAUGCUCAACAGGAAUGGAAAACUUUUCGAAAUGUGCAAUUUGAAGGUAACAUACAUCUCAACAACGUUACUGGAAGCAUAUCUACUACAAUCAGUUUUUCGUAAAAUUUAAACGGUCCAAUGGGAUUCAAUAUUGACUAUUUUGCUGAAGUAGCCAUUGAAAUUGCAAGCAAGGCAGCAAAUACAAGCUCCAAAACUUCAAAUCGCCAAACGUCAAAACAGUCCCAAAAACCAAAUGUCAGUUUCAUGACACAGUUGCCAGAUCAAA